GGACACAAGCAAAGCUGGGCUGGGAAAGCGCUGACCCAGCUGCUCACCUUCACCACAAAGAAGCCUGGGACUCAAGAAGAGUGGAAGGAGAUCCUGGAUCUGGGCCAGCUGCCUCAUUGAAGGUUUCUUUGACAUCUCCUGUUUUAUCUUUUUUUUUUUUUUUUUGAGACAGCAUCUUGCUCUGUCACCCAGGCUUGAGUGCACUGGCACAAUCAUGGCUCACUGCAGCCUCAACUUCCUGGGCUCAAGCGAUCCUCCUACCUCAGCCUCCCGAAUAGGUGGGCCUACAGGUGCGUCACCACACCCAGCUAAUUUUUGCUUUUAUUUUUAUUAUUUAUUUUUUGAGACAGAGUCUCAUUCUGUCACCCAGGCUGGAGUGCAAUGGUGCGAUCUCAGCUCACUGCAACUUCCAGCUCCCAGGUUCAAGUGAUUUUCCCCAUCUCAGAGAGGCAAAAAUUAAUUUCCUUUGGCAUAAACUGAUUUUGAUGAGCCCAGUCCCCGGUGAGGCUUCACAGCAAUGCAGGGAACGGCAGGCAGCAGCAUGACUUACGGGCCUCAAGGCCCCAGACGCCCAGCUGCUUCUGAUGGCUCUGGACAUUUCCAGCCCCCUAAAUCAGCUGCCACACAGCGACCUGGAGUGCUGCCCAGCCUGUCCUCAGUCUCGGCUGGUGCCCCUGACAGGCGCCUCCCAGGUCAGGGGGCACAGUCUGCAUGGAAGUAGGUGACUUCAUCCAGGCUGACUCACCCCAGCCGGCCACUGGAGAUGGACUGCAGGAGGGAGGAGGACGCAGUCCCCUCCAGCCUGGAGCUUUGGCAGGGAUCCUCACCCUCCCUCUGCACCCUUAGGGGUUCCCCAAACCAGACUGUGCCCUACCCUACUCCAUACCAUCCAUCCUUCAGAAUCCACACUGAUGGUCCUGCGAACGGUCCAGAACUUUGGCUCAGAACCCAGGCCCACUGCCCCUCUUACCAGCCAGGCAAAGCAGACCAGCACUGUAACCUCUGAGACUCAGUUUCUUCAUCCGUAAAAUGACCACGGUGACCCCUGCUCCACCUACUCCCAAGAAGUAUUGGGUGAAUCUGGCUGAUGUGAGAGGGUCUUAGAGAUAGGAAAGUAACAUGUGAGAUGGGGGAUGGGAAGUUAUCUCAGUGGACCCCCAUGCCACUACGUUGAGCCCAGACCUCUUCUCCUGGUCUGCAGUGCCCUAAAUGAAUGCCCUCCCCUGCCCUUCUCUCUGCCCCCUUAUACUCCACCCCCUGCCUCUAUCACAAGAAUAGCACAGAAAGACCGGACCCCAUGAUUUAAUUACCUCCCCCUGGGUCCCUCCCACAACAAGUGGGAAUUAUGGGAGAUACAAUUCAAGUUGAGAUUUGGGUGGGGACACAGCCAAACCAUAUGAUUCCGACCCUGGCUCCCCCAAAUCUCAUGUCCUCACAUUUCAAAACCAAUCAUGCCUUCCCAACACUCCCCUAAAGUCUUAACUCAUUUCACCAUUAACCCAAAAGUCCACAGUCCAAAGUCUUAUCUGAGACAAGGCAAGUCCCUUCCACCUAUGAGCCUGUAAAAUCAAAAACAAGUGGCUGGGUGCAGUGGCUCACACCUGUAAUCACAGCACUUUGGGAGGCCGGGGUAGGUGGGUCAUUUGAAGUCAGGAAUUUGAGACCAGCCUGGCCAACACGGUGAAACCCUGCCUCUACUAAAAAUACAAAAUUAACUGGGCGUGGUGGCAUGCGCCUGUAGUCCCAGCUACUCAGGAGGCUGAGACAGGAGAAUCACUUGAACCCGGGAGGUGGAGGCUGCAGUGAGCUGAAAUCACACCACUACACUCCAGCCUGAGCGACAGAGUGAGACUCUGUCUUAAAAAAAAAAAAAAAAAAAAAAGCCAGGUGCGGUGGCUCACGCUUGUAAUCCCAGCAUCUUGGGAGGCC
rnacentral:lncRNA from 1 species